GGAGCCCACCCCACCCCAAUACAAUUCAUUAAACUGAAGAGGCUGCCAUUUUAAAAUUUGCAGAUCUGAGGAAAAGUACAUGAUGGAGAAGAGCAAAUAAAGAGCAGGCAAAUGGAAAUGAUGGACAGUGAUGUCUUGAGGCAGAUCUUACAAGCUAUCCUCAGGUCUGUGUGAGCCAUCUGCCAUCACAGAGGUGACAGCUGCUGUCGCCACCUCUCGCCAUGACCCAGAGGAGCCAGCACCAACUACCCUGGCAUGACCAAACCUCUUUGCCCUGAUCAUCUACAGCAUGGACCUUCUGAUCUGUGCCAAGGUGGGACAGUGAGUCUUCAGGACAGAAAAAAGUCUUCUAGUUGUAGUGUUUGGCUUUGUGUUGCACUGUGACUUAUUGUUGUAUUUUCUCAGGGGUGAAAAGGAGAGCUGGUGGGGCUGAAGGAGAAAACGAUGGAUUGUGGAGCAUCUUUCCUACAAAACGGGGAGCAGUGAGAAUCAGGCCAUGGAUAACACUGAAGAAGUGCAUCCUCAGAAAGAAGAAGACACAACAGUUUAUUUACUGCUCGCAGAGCUGGGCUGAAGUUGAUGACUGGACUUGUUCUUCAUCUGUUGCUGUCAGAGGUCGCUUUUGGUUGUGUCAUAGUUGUCUUGUGAAUGCCUUGAUGUGGGGAGGAAUGAGGCUGAAACAUACAGUAAACAGAAAACUAAAAUUUUAUACAACAAGCAUAAGAAAGUCCAACGGCUCCAUCUUCAUUGUUGUACAGAAUCAGGCCAUCAUGGCAGAAAUAACAUUUAGAUCUUAAGGAAAAGCAAUAAUGCUCCUGUACAAUCCAAAACAACUAGAAGUCCUGCAAUAAAACUCUUACACAUAAAUUACCAUAGACUACAAAAGUAUUACAGCAGAAUUUAGAAGUAUUGAAAGUAAGAGUACUCAUUAUACAGCAUAAUUUCACAUCUCAGUGUAUUAUUAUCCAUCCAUUUUCCA